rnacentral:rRNA from 1 species
UCGGGAAUAUUGCGCAAUGGAGGAAACUCUGACGCAGUGACGCCGCGUAUAGGAAGAAGGUUUUCGGAUUGUAAAGUAUUGUCGUUAGGGAAGGUACAAGGCAGUACCUAAGGAGGAAGCUCCGGCUAACUACGUG